CAGCAGCCACGGUAAUACGUAGGUGGCAAGCGUUGUCCGGAAUUAUUGGGCGUAAAGGGCUCGCAGGCGGUUUCUUAAGUCUGAUGUGAAAGCCCCCGGCUCAACCGGGGAGGGUCAUUGGAAACUGGGAAACUUGAGUGCAGAAGAGGAGAGUGGAAUUCCACGUGUAGCGGUGAAAUGCGUAGAGACGUGGAGGAACACCAGUGGCGAAGGCGACUCUCUGGUCUGUAACUGACGCUGAGGAGCGAAAGCGUGGGGAGCGAACAGGAUUAGAUACCCGCGUAGUCCCUGUCUCUUAUAC
rnacentral:rRNA from 1 species